AGAAUUAGGGAGCCUAACCACUGCUAACCUAAUGGAGAAAGUGCGAGGGCUCCAGAAUCUGGCCUAUCAGCUUGGACUGGAUGAAUGUGAGUAAUGAGUCAUCUUCACUGCUGUAUUCUUAAACAUCUUAUAUGUAGACAUCAUAUAUUGAACGGGUCCUAAACAUGUCUUAGAAUUAUUCAUAGUAAAACAAGAUACACCCAAAUAGUGAAUAUAUAUAAAUGAAAGUACUCUCCCAUGUGUACCUCACACACACCAACAUUUAAAGAAUACAAACAAACAGAAAAAUUGGAGAAAUACACAAUGACUUAUACAAAUGGGGUAGUAUAACCUGCAAUGAUUAAGAAUCCAGAAUCCAGUAUAAGUGCUUUCAAAAUCUAUAAUAAAAAAGUAAACUGCACAUAUCGUAAUUGUGAUGAGACCAAUCUUGCCACUGUGCAUUGGAGGAGCCUGGUUGCCUGCCUACUGCCUUUAGACUAUGUGUCAAGAUUACUGUUUGAUCCAGCACGUAGAACUGUACAGCACGGAUGACAAAUAAGUAACGUAUUACCGGUCCUUAGAAUGGCCGGAUUUAACGUACAAAGAAUAGUCAAAAAUACUAGCCGAGGUCAGGGAACACAGAAAGGGACACAGCGAUGAGGAAAGCCAGGAGUCAGGAUACCAGAAUAUAGAGAAGUCAAUAAACAAAGCCAAAGUCAAAAACCAGGUAGAAAACUAUAAACAGGAACGCGCUCUCGGACAACCACAAGGGAAACCACGACAGGGCACUGAGCAGGCUGAGAACUGGGCCUAAAUACCCCUCCUUUCUUUCUGAUAGGCUGUAACCGGCCUUUGACCCCAAAGUCAGUUACCAGGUUUCAUUUGCAUAAUUGCUGCUCAGCAUUAACCCUUCUGUGGAUUAGGUUGCUGCUCGGCACCACUUUUCCUGUGUGGACAGUAAAUGUCAUUAACCUCUUUUCUAUAAGCGGAUGAAUACAUGAGACCAGGUUUCAUUUGCACAAUUACUGCUCAGCAUUAACCCUUCUGUGGAUUAGGUUGCUGCUCGGCACAACUUUUCCUGUGUGGACAGUAAAUGUCAUUAACCACAUUUCUAUAAGCGGAUGAAUACGUGACACUAUGGCCCCAUGUUGAAACGCUUGAUUUUUCCCCUGCAAAGACACGAAAGCCGGGGCAUUCGGUGCUUGCCCUGUUUGAGCGGUGAUACCCCAGAUAGCUAUGCCAUGGAAGGUUGGAUAUUGUGGUUAAUUUGAAAAAGAAACCUCAGUUAUAGAGAAUAUGGUAUGGCUAUAGUAAACCACUCAACUGGAAAAAAAGUACUCCACUAAAAAAUGCAGUUAUAAAAAAGGAGAGAAAAAUAUUGGAUAGAAUCUAAUAAAAUAUCCAGGAAUGGUUCACUAAUAAACUAAUAUAUAAUUACAAUAAUUACAAAGGUAGAAACAAUAUGUGAUGGACCUGUAUACAAUGUUAUAAACUUAAAAUACUAUGAAUGAAUACAUUAAGAAAUGCCAGUAUAUGGAAAUUCAGCAUUUGGUUAAAGGACCACUAUAGUGCCAGGAAAUACUUGUUUUCCUGGCACUAUAGUGCCCUGAGGGUGCCCCACCCUCAGGGUCCCCCUCCCGCCCGGCUCUGUAAAGGGGUUAAAACUUACCUUUUUCCAGCACUGGGCGGAGAGCUCUCCUCCUCUUCUCCUCCCCGUCAGCUGAGUGCGCACACGCGGCAAGAGCUGCGCGCGCAUUCAGCCGGUCACAUAGGAAAGCAUUAUAAUGCCUAUGGACGCUGCGUGCUCACUGUGAAAAUCACAGUGAGAAGCACGCAAGCGCCUCUAGCGGCUGUCAAUGAGACAGCCGCUAGAGGGAAUGGGGGAAGGCUUAACCCAUUCAUAAACAUAGCAGUUUCUCUGAAACUGCUAUGUUUAUGAAAAAAUGGGUUAACCCCAGCUGGACCAGGCACCCAGACCACUUCAUUAAGCUGAAGUGGUCUGGGUGCCUAGAGUGGUCCUUUAAAUACAUAAAUAAACUCAUAUGUCAUUGCAGUAAUUACAAAUGUAGAAACAAUAUGUGAUGGACCUGUAUACAAUGUUAUAAACUUGAAGUUAUAAUACUAUGGAUAAAUACAUUAAGAAAUGCCAGUGUAUAAAAAUUCAGCAUUAAAUUAAUAAAAUAUAUAAAUCAAAAAAUAUGUCAUUACAGUAAUUACAAAUGUAGAAAUAUUGAAUAAGAGCAUAUAUGGUAUUAAAAUAUUAUUAAUAUAUUAAAAAUAUAUUUCAAAUAUUUUUUUAAAUAAAUUCCAAAUAUUAAAAAAAAUUCCAAAUAUAAUUUUUUUUUCAAAUAGAAAUUUUUUUUUUUUUAAAUAAGUAUUAAAAAUGCAUAAAAACGUAUUACUUUAAAAUUUAUUAUAAAAAAGCUCUUAAUUCGAAAUCUACAUUUAGACCUUUGGGUUCUAGCGUAUCUAACUGAAAUAUCCAUUUCGCUUCCGCUUUAUCUAAUUCUUUUUCUAAAUCGCCUCCUCUCCAUGGAAUGUUUACUUUCUGUAUUGCCAUAAAACUAAGACCUAUAGGAUUUUUUGCAUGUUUAAGAUCAAAGUAUUUUGGAGAGGUUAUGUGAAUGGAGUCCAUUUUUAAUGUUUCUAAUGUGUUCUCCCAUUCGUGUUUUUAAAGCUCUUUUAGUACGUCCUAUGUAUAUCUUAUCGCAAGGACAUUUUAAUAAAUAGAUUACGCCAGUAGUUGUUUUUUUUUUUUUUGGGCGUUAUGACGUGUGGACGUGCGGACGUACGCUCACCGUGAUGACGGAGUAGGAGGGGAACCCGCCAUGAGAAACACAGAAGCAGAAUUAAGAGGAAAAGAAAAGAAAAAGAGGGAGAGGGGGAGAGAGGGAGCAGAGGGAGAAAAGGAAAAAAGGAAGCCAAAAGACAGAAGUAAAGAAAAGCAAAAGCAAAGAGAUAUCAGAGACUCAGAUACAAUAUGGGCGCUUAAAUUUGUCCAAAAAGAAAAAAAAAAGCCCGAAGACUCACAAGAAAUAGAAUAUUUAAUUACAACAUAUGGAAUUGAAAGAACCAAGAGUAAGACUAAAAAGAAAGGAGAAGAAAAGAAAGAAAGACAGAGAAGGACCCAGAGAGAAAGAUAAAGAAAAAGGGGAAGGUGAUAAAUGAAAAAGAGAAAUAAGAAGAGAAGGGGAUGAAAAAAGGAGGAAUAAAGGUGGAAGAGAAAGGAGAAAAAUUUAAAAAAAACGAAUAAAAGUAAAAAAAGAAAGUGAAAUUUAAAGGGAAAGUGGAAGUAGAAGUUAAGGAAAGUGAAAAAGAAGGGGAAAGAGAGAAAAUCUAAACGGAAAGAAGUAAAAGGAAAAGAGAAAAGGGGGGAAGAAAGGAACAGGGAGAAGAGAAAAAGAGGGAAGGGAGAAGGGAAAGAAAGGGGGGAAAAAGAAAAGGAAAAGGAUAGAGAAAAGUAAGGGAAAAGAAAGAAAGAUAAGGGAAGAGAAAGGAGGAAAAAGGAGAAAAAAAAGGAGGAAGGAAAGGAAGAAAAAAGGGAAGGAAAGGAAAAAAAAAAAAAAGGAGUGAAUUAGAGAGAAUCUAUCAAAAACUAAGAUUCGUAUAAAGACUAAUUGUUAGCGGUUUGACGUUUCCAUAGUGUUGAAACUGUCAUAACAUGGCUUCGAAAAAACUCCAAGAAACUAAAUCCUCCUCAAGGAAAGAUAAAAAAGAUCCCAUUCAGGAUAAAUCUCAGGAUAAAUUAUUAACAACUUACUUCUCCCCCCAGCAACAUAAGAUUACUAAACAGAAAUUAAAUGAAAUGGAUCUGAGUUCAGAAAAUCUGGAGACAGACGAUGUAAAAAAUCCUGAUAAAGAUUCAAUAACCAUUUCCAUGCUACAUACCAG